rnacentral:rRNA from 1 species
CAGUCGCCGCGGUAAUACGUAGGGCGCAAGCGUUGUCCGGAAUUAUUGGGCGUAAAGAGCUCGUAGGCGGUCUGUCGCGUCUGGUGUGAAAUCCCGAGGCUCAACCUCGGGCUUGCAUCGGGUACGGGCAGACUAGAGUGCGGUAGGGGAGACUGGAAUUCCUGGUGUAGCGGUGGAAUGCGCAGAUAUCAGGAGGAACACCGAUGGCGAAGGCAGGUCUCUGGGCCGCAACUGACGCUGAGGAGCGAAAGCAUGGGGAGCGAACAGGAUUAGAUACCCCUGUAGUCCCUGUCUCUUAUAU